GACGAACGCUGGCGGCGUGCCUAACACAUGCAAGUCGAGCGGGGUUGAAGCGAGAGGUAACUCGAGCUUCUACCUAGCGGCGGACGGGUGAGUAACGCGUGGGCAACCUGCCUCAAGGUUUGGGAUAACAGCCCGAAAGGGCUGCUAAUACCGGAUAUGCCUAUGGCCUCGCAUGGGGCUAUGAGCAAAGGGGAAACCCGCCUUGAGAUGGGCCCGCGUCCCAUCAGCUAGUUGGUGAGGUAACAGCUCACCAAGGCGACGACGGGUAGCCGGCCUGAGAGGGUGACCGGCCACACUGGGACUGAGACACGGCCCAGACUCCUACGGGGGCAGCAGUGGGGGAUCUUGCACAAUGGGCGAAAGCCUGAUGCAGCGACGCCGCGUGAGCGAAGAAGGCCUUCGGGUUGUAAAGCGUACUUUUCGGCCGGGAAGAAAGUACGUAUGGGUUAAUACCCUGUGCGGAUGACGGUACCGGGCAUAAGAAGCACCGGCUAACUACGUGCCCAGCAGCCCGG
rnacentral:rRNA from 1 species